CCUACGGGGGGCAGCAGUCGGGAAUAUUGCGCAAUGGAGGAAACUCUGACGCAGUGACGCCGCGUAUAGGAAGAAGGUUUUCGGAUUGUAAACUAUUGUCGUUAGGGAAGAUAAAAGACUGUACCUAAGGAGGAAGCCCCGGCUAACUAUGUGCCAGCAGCCGCGGUAAUACAUAGGGGGCAAGCGUUAUCCGGAUUUAUUGGGUUUAAAGGGUGCGUAGGCGGAUUUUUAAGUCAGCGGUAAAAUGUCCGGGCUCAACCCGGGCCGGCCGUUGAAACUGGGGAUCUUGAGUGGGCGAGAAGUAG
rnacentral:rRNA from 1 species